ACCAGAAUCUCCACUUCUGAGCUGCGGAUGCACAAGACAAAAGGAAGUGAACCCAUGACUGGUCUCAGGUCUGCAGAUGCCUAACAGCAAACAGCCCCAUCCACCCCCGGUUGAGGAGAGGAGGGGGCUGUGGCUGCAGACAGACCUCAUAUGUCUCUAAUCUGCCACCUAUGGCCUGUUUGACCCU
rnacentral:antisense_RNA from 1 species